rnacentral:rRNA from 1 species
GUGUCAGCCGCCGCGGUAAAACGUAGGUGGCAAGCGUUAUCCGGAUUUACUGGGUGUAAAGCGUGUGCAGGCGGUCGUGUAAGUAGCGCGUGAAAGCGCCCGGCUCAACCGGGCGAGGACGUGCUGUACUGCACGACUGGAGAUGGGUAGAGGCGAGUGGAAUUCCGGGUGUAGUGGUGAAAUGCGUAGAUAUCCGGAGGAACACCAGAGGCGAAGGCGACUCGCUGGGCCCGUUCUGACGCUCAGACACGACAGCAUGGGGAGCGAACGGGAUUAGAUACCCGCGUAGUCC